rnacentral:rRNA from 1 species
UGGGGAAUAUUGCACAAUGGGGGAAACCCUGAUGCAGCGACGCCGCGUGAACGAAGAAGGUAUUCGUAUCGUAAAGUUCUGUCCUAUGGGAAGAUAAUGACAGUACCAUAGAAGAAAGCUCCGGCUAAAUACGUGCCAGCAGCCGCGGUAAUACGUAUGGAGCGAGCGUUGUCCGGAAUUAUUGGGCGUAAAGGGUACGCAGGCGGUUUAAUAAGUCGAAUGUUAAAGAUCGGGGCUCAACCCCGCAAAGCAUUGGAAACUGAUAAACUUGAGUAGUGGAGAAGAAAGUGGAAUUCCUAGUGGAGUCGUGAAAUACGUAGAUAUUAGGAGGAAUACCAGUAGCGAAGGCGACUUUCUGGACACAAACUGACGCUGAGGUACGAAAGCGUGGGGAGCAAACAGG